rnacentral:lncRNA from 1 species
AUGACCUCCCAGCCGCAGUUUCGCAAACCAACAGCAGCACUCUACAGAGCGCAACGCAUGACCAUCUGCUCUGCUCUUGGUAGUCUCACACGCUGUACCAGGGAGAAAAGCUAUUGCACAACACAAGGAGCAGCAAGAUGUUUGUUUGUUUUUCCAGGUGAUAAUUUUGGCCUCGCAGUUACCAUAAACAUGACGAAUGGGUCUGCUGUGGAUUUAACACAAUUUUGUGGAGAUAGACACACGAAUCUGCUUGCAGAACCUAUUGAAAGGACUGAGCAUCUAAUAAACUCAUAACUAAUAAAAAGCCAGUGCUAAUACCUCUAAAAAUAGAA